rnacentral:rRNA from 1 species
UACGUAGGGGGCAAGCGUUGUCCGGAUUUCUUGGGCGUAAAGAGCGUGUAGGCGGCCGUACAGGUCAGCUGUGAAAACUCGAGGCUCAACCUCGAGACGUCGGCGGAAACCAUCUGGCUAGAGUCCGGAAGAGGAGAGUGGAAUUCCUGGUGUAGCGGUGAAAUGCGCAGAUAUCAGGAAGAACACCCGUGGCGAAGGCGGCUCUCUGGGACGGUACUGACGCUGAGACGCGAAAGCGUGGGGAGCGAACAGG